GAUGAACGCUGGCGGCGUGCCUAAUACAUGCAAGUCGAGCGAACGGACGAGAAGCUUGCUUUUCUGAUGUUAGCGGCGGACGGGUGAGUAACACGUUGAUAACCUACCUAUAAGACUGGGAUAACUUCGGGAAACCGGAGCUAAUACCGGAUAAUAUUUUGAACCGCAUGGUUCAAAAGUGAAAGACGGUCUUGCUGUCACUUAUAGAUGGAUCCGCGCUGCAUUAGCUAGUUGGUAAGGUAACGGCUUACCAAGGCAACGAUGCAUAGCCGACCUGAGAGGGUGAUCGGCCACACUAGAACUGAGACACGGUCCAGACUCAUACGGGAGGCAGCAGUAGGGAAUAUUCCGCAAUGGGCGAAAGCCUGACGGAGCAACGCCGCGUGAGUGAUGAAGGUCUUCGGAUCGUAAAACUCUGUUAUUAGGGAAGAACAUAUGUGUAAGUAACUGUGCACAUCUUGACGGUACCUAAUCAGAAAGCCACGGCUAACUACGUG
rnacentral:rRNA from 1 species